UGAGAAAUCACUUGAACCGGGCAUAAAGACAUAUAUAUGACAAAAAGAAAACAUUAAGCGGAGGAUUUCCCGAUUGCAAAAAAAGCUAAUAAUUAGUUUCCUUAUGUGAGGGAACAUCUUUUUGAUAUAAAAAAGUAUGAAUUGGGGAGGGAAACUUAACAUAGCCUAACCUAAUAA
ensembl:ncRNA M01A8.3 ncRNA